GCAGCCCCUCUCCACGUCCCUGGCUGGCCUCUGCUCCCUGGGGACACCCCGGGCCGAGCAGCUGAGCGCAGCAGAAGCAUAAGGCUCUGUGCCCGCCCAGGCUGCCUUGGGAAGAAAAGGGGAUCAAGGCAGCAGGCACUUUGCAGCCACGUGGACCAAAGUUCAAAUCCCAGCAACUCACGCACUGGGCGUGUGAGCCCCUAGAGCCUCGGACGCGUCCGCAUCCAUCAGGGAGACCCAGGACAAGCUACUUAUUUCCUGGGAAGCCCAGUUUCCCCAUCUGUGAAAUGGGGCCAGUCCCUGGAGCUGUUAUGAAGAUGCAUGUCCUCAUACUUGCAUGUUGAGCCCAGUGGCUGACUCAAACCAGGCCUCCGUCAACGUCAGUCAUUCAUAACAACAAUAAAUAUUAUGAUAAUUCCUUCCG